UACAGAGGUGUCAAACGUUGUCCGGAAUUACUGGGCGUAAAGGGCGCGUAGGCGGCCUUAUAAGUCAUGUGUGAAAGCUCUGGGCUCAACCCAGGAAUUGCAUGUGAUACUGUAAGGCUUGAGUUCGGUAGAGGAGGGCGGAAGUUCCGGGUGUGAGCGGUGGAAUGCGUAGAGAUCCGGAAGAACACCGGUGGCGAAGGCGGCCUGCUGGGCAGUGGCUGACACUGAGGCGCGACAGCGUGGGAGCAACAGG
rnacentral:rRNA from 1 species